GCUCAGGACAAUCUGGAAUUUUUAUUGAAGUGGUUUGAACGUUUUCCUCAGUACAAAGGAAGGGACUUCUAUAUUAUAGGAGAGAGCUAUGCAGGACAUUAUGUUCCUCAGCUGAGCCAGGUAAUUGUAAAACACAACUCUGCAACAAAGGAAAAAGCCAUUAAUCUGAAGGGUUAUAUGGUGGGAAAUGCUUUAACUGACGAUCACCAUGAUCACUUGGGGCUUUUCCAAUUCAUGUGGUCAGCUGGCUUGAUAUCUGACGAGAAAUACAAAUUACUAA